rnacentral:rRNA from 1 species
CACGUAGGGGGCAAGCGUUGUCCGGAUUUAUUGGGCGUAAAGAGCUCGUAGGCGGUUUGUCACGUCUGCUGUGAAAACUGGAGGCUCAACCUCCAGCCUGCAGUGGGUACGGGCAGACUAGAGUGCGGUAGGGGAGAUUGGAAUUCCUGGUGUAGCGGUGGAAUGCGCAGAUAUCAGGAGGAACACCGAUGGCGAAGGCAGAUCUCUGGGCCGUAACUGACGCUGAGGAGCGAAAGCAUGGGGAGCGAACAGG